UACGGGGGGAGCAAGCGUUGUUCGGAUUUACUGGGCGUAAAGGGCGCGUAGGCGGUCAGCACAAGUCAGUUGUGAAAUCUCCGGGCUUAACUCGGAAAGGUCAACUGAUACUGUGCGACUAGAGUGCGGGAGGGGCAACUGGAAUUCUCGGUGUAGCGGUGAAAUGCGUAGAUAUCGAGAGGAACACCUGCGGCGAAGGCGGGUUGCUGGGCUGACACUGACGCUGAUGCGCGAAAGCCAGGGGAGCGAACGGG
rnacentral:rRNA from 1 species